UACGUAGGGAGCAAGCGUUGUCCGGAUUUAUUGGGCGUAAAGAGCUCGUAGGCGGUCUGUCGCGUCGAUCGUGAAAACUUGGGGCUUAACCCUGAGCUUGCGGUCGAUACGGGCAUGACUGGAGUUCGGCAGGGGAGACUGGAAUUCCUGGUGUAGCGGUGAAAUGCGCAGAUAUCAGGAGGAACACCGGUGGCGAAGGCGGGUCUCUGGGCCGAUACUGACGCUGAGGAGCGAAAGCGUGGGUAGCAAACAGG
rnacentral:rRNA from 1 species